UAAUCAUAUGCUUGUCUCAAAGAUUAAGCCAUGCAUGUCUAAGUACAAGCCGCGUAUGCGGCGAGACUGCGGACGGCUCAUUAAAUCGGUUAUGAAUCCACUGGGGACAGACUCACCCGUGGAUAACGUGCGGUAACUCCGGUGCUAAUACAUGCAACAAGGCUCCGACCUCGUCUUCGGGCGGGGGAAGGGCGCACUUAUUAGGCGAAAACCAAUCGCUCUCCGAGCGUUGGUGGACGACACCCGAGUAAUUGCCGCCGAUCGCACGGCCUCCGAGCCGGCGACACCUGCACUGAGUUUCUGAUCUAUCAUGCUGACGACGGUUGGUGCUAUGCCAACCGUGGCGUUAACGGAUAACAGAGAAUCUGGGUUCGAUUCUGGAGAGGCCGCAUGAGAAACGGCGACCACUUCCAAGGAAGGCAGCAGGCACGCAAAUUACCCACUUCGGACACCGAGAGGUAGUGACGAACAAUACCGAUGCGGCGCACUUACGGGUCGCCGUAAUCGGAAUGAGUACAAUUCAAAUCCUUUAACGAGGAUCAACUGGAGGGCAAGCCUGGUGCCAGCAGCCGCGGUAAUUCCAGCUCCAGCAGCGUAUAUUUAUAUUGCUGCGUUUAAAAAGCUCGUAGUUGAAGCGUCAGACGCGGGAGGGCGGACGGCCGCACAGGUUGCUCUCGCCCGACCGAGCCAGGCGCAGAGGGCGCGCGUCGCUUGCACUUCGC
rnacentral:rRNA from 1 species